GACGAACGCUGGCGGCGUGCUUAACACAUGCAAGUCGAACGGAAAGGCCCUGCUUUUGUGGGGUGCUCGAGUGGCGAACGGGUGAGUAACACGGGAGUAACCUGCCCUUGACUUUGGGAUAACUUCAGGAAACUGGGGCUAAUACCGGAUAGGAGCUCCUGCUGCAUGGUGGGGGUUGGAAAGUUUCGGCGGUUGGGGAUGGACUCGCGGCUUAUCAGCUUGUUGGUGGGGUAGUGGCUUACCAAGGCUUUGACGGGUAGCCGGCCUGAGAGGGUGACCGGCCACAUUGGGACUGAGGUACGGCCCAGACUCCUACGGGAGGCAGCAGUGGGGAAUAUUGCACAAUGGGCGGAAGCCUGAUGCAGCAACGCCGCGUGCGGGAUGACGGCCUUCGGGUUGUAAACCGCUUUCGCCUGUGACGAAGCGUGAGUGACGGUAAUGGGUAAAGAAGCACCGGCUAACUACGUG
rnacentral:rRNA from 1 species